rnacentral:rRNA from 1 species
UACGUAGGGUCCGAGCGUUGUCCGGAAUUACUGGGCGUAAAGCGCGCGCAGGCGGCCCGCGAGGUGUCACGUGAAAGCCCCGGGCUCAACCCGGGAGGGUCGUGGCAAACCGGCGGGCUUGAGGCCGGUAGAGGUGGGUGGAACUCCUGGUGGAGUGGUGAAAUGCGUAGAGAUCAGGAAGAACACCCGUGGCGAAGGCGGCCCACUGGGCCGGUACUGACGCUGGGGCGCGAAGGCGUGGGGAGCGAACGGG